rnacentral:rRNA from 1 species
GACGAACGCUGGCGGCGUGCCUAAUACAUGCAAGUCGAGCGAGUCUGCCUUGAAGAUCGGAGUGCUUGCACUCUGUGAAACAAGAUACAGGCUAGCGGCGGACGGGUGAGUAACACGUGGGUAACCUGCCCAAGAGAUCGGGAUAACACCUGGAAACAGAUGCUAAUACCGGAUAACAACAGAUGAUGCCUAUCAACUGUUUAAAAGAUGGUUCUGCUAUCACUCUUGGAUGGACCUGCGGUGCAUUAGCUAGUUGGUAGGGUAACGGCCUACCAAGGCGAUGAUGCAUAGCCGAGUUGAGAGACUGAUCGGCCACAUUGGGACUGAGACACGGCCCAAACUCCUACGGGAGGCAGCAGUAGGGAAUCUUCCACAAUGGACGCAAGUCUGAUGGAGCAACGCCGCGUGAGUGAAGAAGGGUUUCGGCUCGUAAAGCUCUGUUGUUAGUGAAGAAGGACAGGGGUAGUAACUGACCUUUGUUUGACGGUAAUCAAUUAGAAAGUCACGGCUAACUACGUG